rnacentral:rRNA from 1 species
UACGUAGGGGGCUAGCGUUGUCCGGAAUCAUUGGGCGUAAAGCGCGUGUAGGCGGUUCGGUAAGUCCGCUGUGAAAGUCGGGGGCUCAACCCUCGGAUGCCGGUGGAUACUGUCGGACUAGAGUACGGAAGAGGCGAGUGGAGUUCCUGGUGUAGCGGUGAAAUGCGCAGAUAUCAGGAGGAACACCGAUUGCGAAGGCAGCUCGCUGGGACGUUACUGACGCUGAGACGCGAAAGCGUGGGGAGCAAACAGG